GAUGAACGCUGGCGGCAUGCCUAACACAUGCAAGUCGGACGGGUAGUGGUGUUUCCCGUGGCGGUCGGGUGAGGAACGCGUAAGAACCUGCCCUGGGGAGGGGAACAACAACUGGAUACGGUUGCUAAUAGCCCGCAGGUAGAGGAGCAAACGGGGGAAUCCGCCCGAGGGGGGGCUGGCGCCUGGGUAGCCAGUUGGUGGGGUAAUAGCUUACCAAGGUGAUGAUCUGUAGCUACUCCGAGAGGACGAUCGGCCACACUGCGACUGGGACACGGCGCAGACUCCUACGGGCGGCAGGCGAGGGGAUUUUUCCGCAAUGGGGGGAAGGCUAACAAGGCCAUGCGGCGUGGAAGUAGAAGGACCACGGGUCAAGGACUUCUUGUCUCGAAGAAGAAACAAUGACGGUAUCUGAAGAAUAAGCAUCGGCUAACUCCGUG
rnacentral:rRNA from 1 species